rfam:Felis catus isolate Cinnamon breed Abyssinian chromosome A3, whole genome shotgun sequence.
GCCUGGGUGGCUCAGUCGGUUAAGCGUCUGACUUUGGCUCAGGUCAUGAUCUCACAGUUUGUGGGUUUGAGCCCCAUGUCGGGCU